CCUCCCAGUCACUCCCCUUUGCCCUCCCACAGCAGAUCGAGCGUGCCGGCGCUGGUGUUCGCCGCCUCCUUCCUUAGGCUGCCAUCCCGCAUGUCCAAGCAGCAGAAGCACAACAGGGUGGACGCCAUCACCACCUCCCCGUCCCGGGCCUCCUUCCGCGACGCAUCCCGUAGCGGCGCCCACCGCGGCCCCUGCCGACCGCCCUCGCGGCUGGCUGCUUGCCCGGCGACGACGGCGGCCUCGUCUUCCCCGGAGGCCGUGGUGCCUCAAGGCCGACCUGGAGCCCCCUCCUCGCCCUUCCUCCACCUCUGAGUUGGGGUUCGGUUUGCGUGCAAUGGUGGUGGCGUACGAGGCAAACAAGCUGCUGGUGGUCGAGGACGUGUAGGUGGCGCAGCCGCUGGCCGGCGAGUCUGCAUCAAGGUCCUCUCCACUGUGCUCUGCCACACUGACUACUACACCUAGAGCGGCAAGGUCCGUCACCCUCCAUCCUCCUCGCCCUGCGCUUCCUUGAAUCUAGGUUUCAAUGGCCGCGGUUGCCUAGGGCCUGUAGCCAGCGCUGGCACUGCUGCUAGUCACCACCUCCCCCAACCCCAGCAACUUAUCUUGGAUUUUCCCUACCGUCAGUGUUAUUCCAUUGUGUCAAUGGUUGCGAUGAGACUGAGUAAUUGGGGAUUAAUUGACUUCCAUGUAGCAUUGUACGAGUUGUUCCUUAUAGUGUCGGGUUGGGUGUAGAGUGAAUUGACAUGAUGUAUAGUAGAAAAUGUUUGUGCAAAUCUGAAAGCCUACUGCAUGCCGUAGAGAUUUACUAGAAUUUGUGUUCGUGUCAUGAAAGGGUUUCUUUUGCUAUGCAGGAUCCCGAGGGCCUCUUUCCUUGCAUUCUCGGUGACAAGGAUGCUGGGUAAGCCCACAAAUUUGUGUGAUUUCAGGUAUUAUCAUCCAUAGCUAAAGAUAACUGUGCACUGAUAAGUUUGCUUCCAUAGCUUCUGAUAGAAUUGUUGAGAGUGUCGGCGAAGGAGUGACCGACGUGCAGCCAGGGGGACUGCAAGAUGUGCACUAAGUAAGGAUCCGAUCUGAUUGGGCUCUACUCGUGCUCGUGGUAGAUCGUGUGGUUUGCCACAUGCCUGGCAAGAUGCUCUUGUUGAUUCAUCUUUUAUAGACCCGAAGGAGCCCGUAUGGAAGGCACCUCCUCUCCGGGUGGUGAGAGCGUUGAGGGGUCGUGGGUGCUGCUAAUGGCCAUGUCCGUGGCCGUGCCUGCCAUUACCCUCUCUACAAGGGCACAGCUAGGAAGACGCUCAACAACCAAAUCGUUGUCCACUCCAAGUGGAGGGGACAACUCAAGCGAUAGUUGACAUGGAAAGUGCUAUGGAACAAGAGGUACCAAAAGGUGGAGAACCAAAGAGUGAUGCUGCUAUUGUUGCUGACAUUCUCACUAAAGAAUGUCCCUCCAGCACAUCCUUCACUGGUUGUGUUGUUUUGGUUGGUGCCAUCUUAUGUUACUGGUUACUAGUGCACAAUAUGGACAUGGCCAUAUUAUGAACAUUGGUUUUGUUAUUUUGUUUGGUGCAUCUUAUGAACCUGUGGUGUAAAGAUAAUGCUGGGCCUAAGUUAUUGAAAUCCUGGAGAAUUAUGUUAUUAUUGUCAUUA